rnacentral:rRNA from 1 species
UGGGGGAUAUUGCACAAUGGUCGAAAGCCUGAUGCAGCGACGCCGCGUGGGGGAUGAAGGCCUUCGGGUUGUAAACUUCUUUUGCUCUGAACAAGGCAUGCUAAUGGGUGUGUUGAGUGUAGGGGUUGAUUAGCGCCGGCUAACUACGUGCCAGCAGCCGCGGUAAUACGUAGGGCGCGAGCGUUGUCCGGAAUUAUUGGGCGUAAAGGGCUUGUAGGUGGCUGGUUGCGUCUGUCGUGAAAGCUCAUGGCUUAACUGUGGGUUUGCGGUGGGUACGGGCUGGCUUGAGUGCAGUAGGGGAGGCUGGAAUUCCUGGUGUAGCGGUGGAAUGCGCAGAUAUCAGGAGGAAUACCGGUGGCGAAGGCGGGUCUCUGGGCUGUUACUGACACUGAGGAGCGAAAGCAUGGGGAGCGAACAGG